rnacentral:rRNA from 1 species
UGCCAGCAGCCGCGGUAAUACGGGGGUCCCAAGCGUUGUUCGGAAUUACUGGGCGUAAAGCGUACGUAGGCGGAUCAGAAAGUAUGGGGUGAAAUCCCAGGGCUCAACCCUGGAACUGCCUCAUAAACUCCUGGUCUUGAGUUCGAGAGAGGUGAGUGGAACUCCGAGUGUAGAGGUGAAAUUCGUAGAUAUUCGGAAGAACACCAGUGGCGAAGGCGGCUCACUGGCUCGAUACUGACGCUGAGGUGCGAAAGUGUGGGGAGCAAACAGGAUUAGAUA